UCUGAUGAGACGAUUGAUGUGGCCAGGGUC
rnacentral:piRNA from 1 species